AUUGAACGCUGGCGGCAGGCCUAACACAUGCAAGUCGAGCGGAUGAAGGGAGCUUGCUCCUGGAUUCAGCGGCGGACGGGUGAGUAAUGCCUAGGAAUCUGCCUGGUAGUGGGGGAUAACGUCCGGAAACGGGCGCUAAUACCGCAUACGUCCUGAGGGAGAAAGAGGGGGAUCUUCGGACCUCAAGCUAUCAGAUGAGCCUAGGUCGGAUUAGCUAGUUGGUGGGGUAAAGGCCUACCAAGGCGACGAUCCGUAACUGGUCUGAGAGGAUGAUCAGUCACACUGGAACUGAGACACGGUCCAGACUCCUACGGGAGGCAGCAGUGGGGAAUAUUGGACAAUGGGCGAAAGCCUGAUCCAGCCAUGCCGCGUGUGUGAAGAAGGUCUUCGGAUUGUAAAGCACGUUAAGUUGGGAGGAAGGGCAGUAAGUUAAUACCUUGCUGUUUUGACGUUACCAACAGAAUAAGCACCGGCUAACUUCGUG
rnacentral:rRNA from 1 species